CCUACGGGUGGGCAGCAGUGGGGGAUAUUGCACAAUGGGGGAAACCCUGAUGCAGCAACGCCGCGUGUGGGAAGAAGGUUUUCGGAUUGUAAACCACUGUUCUUGGUGAAGAUAUUGACGGUACCCAAGGAGAAAGCUCCGGCUAACUACGUGCAAGCAGCCGCGGUAAUACGUAGGGAGCAAGCGUUGUCCGGAUUUACUGGGUGUAAAGGGUGCGUAGGCGGUCUUACAAGUCAGACGUGAAAACCACAGGCUCAACCUGAGGACUGCGUUUGAAACUGUGGGCCUGGAGUGAGGUAGAGGUAGGCGGAAUUCCCGGUGUAGCGGUAAAAUGCGUAGAGAUCGGGAGGAACACUAGUGGCGAAGGCGACCUACUGG
rnacentral:rRNA from 1 species